GACGUAGGGGGCGAGCGUUGUCCCGGAUUUAUUGGGCGUAAAGCGUGCGUAGGCGGCUGCGCAAGUCGGUUGUGAAACCCCGGGGCUCAACCCCGGAACUGCAUCCGAUACUGCGUGGCUAGAGGUAGGUAGGGGAGAUCGGAAUUCCUGGUGUAGCGGUGAAAUGCGCAGAGUAUCAGGAGGAACACCGGUGGCGAAGGCGGAUCUCUGGGCCUUACCUGACGCUCAGGCACGAAAGCUAGGGAGCGAACAGG
rnacentral:rRNA from 1 species